GAAGGGAAGAAUGAUCACAUUUCGAACAGGGAUGUGAGAUGACGGUACCUUCAGAGGAAGCCCCGGCUAACUCCGUGCCAGCAGCCGCGGUAACACGGGGGGGGCAAGCGUUGUCCGGAAUUAUUGGGCGUAAAGGGCGCGUAGGCGGGAAUUUAAGUCUGAGGUGAAAGUUUGCGGCUUAACCGUAGAAUUGCCUUGGAUACUGGAUUUCUUGAGUGCGGGAGAGGGAAGCGGAAUUCCUGGUGUAGCGGUGAAAUGCGUAGAUAUCAGGAAGAACACCGGUGGCGAAGGCGGCUUCCUGGCCCGUAACUGACGCUGAGGCGCGAAAGUGUGGGUAGCGAACAGGAUUAGAUACCCUGGUAGUCCACACAGUAAACGAUGGGUACUAGGUGUUGGUCUUUAGGGAUCAGCGCCGGAGCAAACGCAUUAAGUACCCCGCCUGGGGAGUACGACCGCAAGGUUGAAACUCAAAGGAAUUGACGGGGGCCCGCACAAGCGGUGGAGCAUGUGGUUUAAUUCGAUGCAACGCGAAGAACCUUACCUGGGCUUGAACUGGGCAUGAAACAUUCUGAAAGGGAUGCGUCCUUC
rnacentral:rRNA from 1 species